UGUACGUACAAGCAGUGGGAGCACAGAGCAAUCUGUGUGACUGCGUACCUUUUGUAUAAUGGGUCAGCGACUUAUAUUCUGUAGCAAGGUUAACCGAAUAGGGGAGCCGAAGGGAAACCGAGUCUUAACUGGGCGUUAAGUUGCAGGGUAUAGACCCGAAACCCGGUGAUCUAGCCAUGGGCAGGUUGAAGGUUGGGUAACACUAACUGGAGGACCGAACCGACUAAUGUUGAAAAAUUAGCGGAUGACUUGUGGCUGGGGGUGAAAGGCCAAUCAAACCGGGAGAUAGCUGGUUCUCCCCGAAAGCUAUUUAGGUAGCGCCUCGUGAAUUCAUCUCCGGGGGUAGAGCACUGUUUCGGCAAGGGGGUCAUCCCGACUUACCAACCCGAUGCAAACUGCGAAUACCGGAGAAUGUUAUCACGGGAGACACACGGCGGGUGCUAACGUCCGUCGUGAAGAGGGAAACAACCCAGACCGCCAGCUAAGGUCCCAAAGUCAUGGUUAAGUGGGAAACGAUGUGGGAAGGCCCAGACAGCCAGGAUGUUGGCUUAGAAGCAGCCAUCAUUUAAAGAAAGCGUAAUAGCUCACUGGUCGAGUCGGCCUGCGCGGAAGAUGUAACGGGGCUAAACCAUGCACCGAAGCUGCGGCAGCGACACUGUGUGUUGUUGGGUAGGGGAGCGUUCUGUAAGCCUGUGAAGGUGUGCUGUGAGGCAUGCUGGAGGUAUCAGAAGUGCGAAUGCUGACAUAAGUAACGAUAAAGCGGGUGAAAAGCCCGCUCGCCGGAAGACCAAGGGUUCCUGUCCAACGUUAAUCGGGGCAGGGUGAGUCGACCCCUAAGGCGAGGCCGAAAGGCGUAGUCGAUGGGAAACAGGUUAAUAUUCCUGUACUUGGUGUUACUGCGAAGGGGGGACGGAGAAGGCUAUGUUGGCCGGGCGACGGUUGUCCCGGUUUAAGCGUGUAGGCUGGUUUUCCAGGCAAAUCCGGAAAAUCAAGGCUGAGGCGUGAUGACGAGGCACUACGGUGCUGAAGCAACAAAUGCCCUGCUUCCAGGAAAAGCCUCUAAGCAUCAGGUAACAUCAAAUCGUACCCCAAACCGACACAGGUGGUCAGGUAGAGAAUACCAAGGCGCUUGAGAGAACUCGGGUGAAGGAACUAGGCAAAAUGGUGCCGUAACUUCGGGAGAAGGCACGCUGAUAUGUAGGUGAAGUCCCUCGCGGAUGGAGCUGAAAUCAGUCGAAGAUACCAGCUGGCUGCAACUGUUUAUUAAAAACACAGCACUGUGCAAACACGAAAGUGGACGUAUACGGUGUGACGCCUGCCCGGUGCCGGAAGGUUAAUUGAUGGGGUCAGCGCAAGCGAAGCUCUUGAUCGAAGCCCCGGUAAACGGCGGCCGUAACUAUAACGGUCCUAAGGUAGCGAAAUUCCUUGUCGGGUAAGUUCCGACCUGCACGAAUGGCGUAAUGAUGGCCAGGCUGUCUCCACCCGAGACUCAGUGAAAUUGAACUCGCUGUGAAGAUGCAGUGUACCCGCGGCAAGACGGAAAGACCCCGUGAACCUUUACUAUAGCUUGACACUGAACAUUGAGCCUUGAUGUGUAGGAUAGGUGGGAGGCUUUGAAGUGUGGACGCCAGUCUGCAUGGAGCCGACCUUGAAAUACCACCCUUUAAUGUUUGAUGUUCUAACGUGGACCCGUGAUCCGGGUUGCGGACAGUGUCUGGUGGGUAGUUUGACUGGGGCGGUCUCCUCCUAAAGAGUAACGGAGGAGCACGAAGGUUGGCUAAUCCUGGUCGGACAUCAGGAGGUUAGUGCAAUGGCAUAAGCCAGCUUGACUGCGAGCGUGACGGCGCGAGCAGGUGCGAAAGCAGGUCAUAGUGAUCCGGUGGUUCUGAAUGGAAGGGCCAUCGCUCAACGGAUAAAAGGUACUCCGGGGAUAACAGGCUGAUACCGCCCAAGAGUUCAUAUCGACGGCGGUGUUUGGCACCUCGAUGUCGGCUCAUCACAUCCUGGGGCUGAAGUAGGUCCCAAGGGUAUGGCUGUUCGCCAUUUAAAGUGGUACGCGAGCUGGGUUUAGAACGUCGUGAGACAGUUCGGUCCCUAUCUGCCGUGGGCGCUGGAGAACUGAGGGGGGCUGCUCCUAGUACGAGAGGACCGGAGUGGACGCAUCACUGGUGUUCGGGUUGUCAUGCCAAUGGCACUGCCCGGUAGCUAAAUGCGGAAGAGAUAAGUGCUGAAAGCAUCUAAGCACGAAACUUGCCCCGAGAUGAGUUCUCCCUGACCCUUUAAGGGUCCUGAAGGAACGUUGAAGACGACGACGUUGAUAGGCCGGGUGUGUAAGCGCAGCGAUGCGUUGAGCUAACCGGUACUAAUGAACCGUGAGGCUUAACCUUACAACGCCGAAGGUGUUU
rnacentral:rRNA from 1 species